GUACGGUGAUGAUUAACCUUCUGGUUUCGCUUUCCUGAGAUGCAUGAUGACACCUUUACCUUGGCUGUGUCUGAGUAC